rnacentral:rRNA from 1 species
UACGUAGGGUGCAAGCGUUGUCCGGAAUUAUUGGGCGUAAAGAGCUCGUAGGCGGUCUGUCACGUCGGAUGUGAAAAUCCAGGGCUUAACCCUGGACCUGCAUUCGAUACGGGCAGACUAGAGUCCGGUAGGGGAGUGUGGAAUUCCCGGUGUAGCGGUGAAAUGCGCAGAUAUCGGGAGGAACACCAGUGGCGAAGGCGGCACUCUGGGCCGGAACUGACGCUGAGGCGCGAAAGCGUGGGGAGCAAACAGG